UAUGUUUAAAAUUUCUUUUUUUUUUUUAAAGAAAAUUCAUAUCAUUUUACAACAAAAAAUUUCAUUGUGCACUAUGAUAUAAAUGUUAUAGUAUAGUGUUAUGGCUGUGUGUGUGGGUGUGUCCUGUGUCUUCUGCUGUGUGUCUCUCUCUGGUAGGUUUUCUCCCCAGGUGUCUCAGGUGAACCUGCUUGGUGUGAUGAGUGGGAGCGGAUAUAAGAAGGCACAGCUGCGCUGAUUCUCUCUCUCUCGUGAUCGUCACUUGUGCUGCAGACCUCCCGAUUGUUGACUGUGUUUCUAUCUUGUGUGUUUUGGUGUUCUUGAAUCCAGGUUUUCCAUUGGCAGGGGCCUGUGGUGUUUCUUUUGUUUGUUUUAAUAGUUGGCAGUGAAUUUUGGUUUUGAAUGACUUAUUGAUAAUCGGCCU